UCACAUCCUAAUCAUUUAUAUCGUAAUCUCCAAUGAUCAUAACCUAAGUUCUGAUAUCACUCUGUAAUAUUCUAAUCACUUAUAUCAUAAUCCCUAAUGAUCAUAACCUAUGCUCUGAUACCAUUCUGUCACGCCCCGAACCCAACACCCAGGUCGGAUACGUGAUGGCCGCACACUCCUUAGAGCAAGCCCUAAAGAAUAUGCAAGGCCAAAUUAAAUCAUUACAACCUUAACAUCCAUAAUAAUUUAUUUC
rnacentral:lncRNA from 1 species